rnacentral:rRNA from 1 species
AGAGUUUGAUCAUGGCUCAGAUUGAACGCUGGCGGCAUGCUUUACACAUGCAAGUCGAGCGGCAGGCGCGGGGGCAACCUGGCGGCGAGCGGCGAACGGGUGAGUAAUGCAUCGGAACGUACCCUGGGAUGGGGGAUAACGCCGCGAAAGCGGCGCUAAUACCGCAUAUGCUCUGAGGAGGAAAGUGGGGGACCGCAAGGCCUCACGCUCUGGGAGCGGCCGAUGUCCGAUUAGCUAGUUGGUGAGGUAAAGGCUUACCAAGGCGACGAUCGGUAGCUGGUCUGAGAGGAUGAUCAGCCACACUGGGACUGAGACACGGCCCAGACUCCUACGGGAGGCAGCAGUGGGGAAUUUUGGACAAUGGGGGCAACCCUGAUCCAGCCAUGCCGCGUGAGUGAAGAAGGCCUUCGGGUUGUAAAGCUCUUUUGGUCGGGAAGAAAGUGCCCUGCUUAAUACGCGGGGUAUUUGACGGUACCGGCAGAAUAAGCACCGGCUAACUACGUG